rnacentral:tRNA from 1 species
AGUUAAUUAGCUUAUAAAAAGCAUAUAUUUUGAAAAUAUAAGAAAGAUAAAACUAAUUUAUUAGCUU